AAACAUCCCCACAGAUGCUUCUUUCGUGGUCGACGGCCAAAUUUCCGUUGAUGGCCACAUGUGAGCUGACGUCAAUUGGAUCUACAUCCGGAACUCCAUCAAGUCCAACCGAAGGUACAUUUUUCCCUGGUGCUAUGUUAUUAUUUUCGUCGUGAUGGCCAAAAUCAUUGUCAACGUGUAGAGGUGUUGAAUGAGAGUUUGGCAUUUUAGUCAUGUAAUAAAAGAUACUUCGAAG
rnacentral:lncRNA from 1 species